GUCUUCUGUUAAAUUUUCAUAUUGAAGUUGUAAGCCGCAAAGGUAAAUAAAUAAAAAAAGAGAGGACAGUUGAUUUUCAGCCUCGCGCUGUAUAUCUUUACUGCUUAUUCAUGUAUGUAUGUACAAACCAACUGACUAGCCUAACAACGUGUUCUGGUGGUGGGUGUUCUUUGGUCUAGCCACCAUUCUACUGUGCUCUGUGCUGUUCAAGAUGGCUGAGAGCGCGGAUCGCAAAUUUCGGCGUGAAAUUAAUCGGCGCGUCAGUGCUAGUUUUCAGCUUAUUGACAGUGAGGCCGAUGUCAUAAAUGACACGCGGUACGUUGACCGAGAUUCCCGCAACGCCGAAAGAGAGAGCGACUUGCCCUCCGAGGCUUGUGCGGUCGACCUCGAAGACGGCCAUCGUCGCCUUUGUGUUCAUGACAGAGAACGGCCUUCGGCACACUCCUCGAUCGUUCCAGAAACGGAUGUGCCCCAAGGACACGUUUUGAUUUCUGGCGACGCGUGCUACCCCAGCGGCUGCAGUGUUUCUGUGCCUCACGAUCACACAGACUUCGAACGGCGUGCCUUCCAUGACAGCAGCGCUGCGGCUUCGACUUCGGCGACCUCGCAGGUGAGGCAGAGGGAUUCUUUCGAAUUGGCACCGACUGGGAGUAACGAAGAGCAAGUUUGUGAACGCGGCAGUGUGGACAGCUUGCUGGCCUUUCGUGAGAGACUGCAAGCGUGGGCCUUACAAUCUCGCGCAUCGCACACUUCAGUUACAUCGCUCUUGAGAGUACUACAGUCCCACGAAUGCUUCAGCGCGCUCCCUUCAACUGCAAGGGCAUUGUUACAGACGCCCAAGAAGUGCCUGGAAGUGUUGCAGCUGGCCGGCGGGAAAUACCAUCAUUUCGGCCUCAGUGCAGGCCUACAGCGAGUGCUGCAAGAUUGUGCAGAACUACCAAGAAUUUUGAAGCUUAGCUUCAACAUUGACGGUCUGCCGGUUUCAAAAAGUUCACGGGGCCAAUUUUGGUGCAUACUGGGACGCAUAAGUAAUUUGGAGGACAAAGCACCAUUUAUAGUGGGUGUUUUUUUCGGAAGCAGCAAGCCCAACAACGCGAAUGAUUUUUUGCGACCAUUUGUUUGUGACAUAAAUGCUGCUAUCACAACAGGGAUUACCAUUGGAGAAACUGCAAUUCCUGUUAGCUUGUAUGCCCUCAUAUGUGAUGCACCAGCAAAGGCAUUUGUAUUAUAUGUCAGAAGCCACACAGGCUAUUACAGCUGCACCAAAUGUGACGUAAAAGGUGUCUACUGUGAGGGCAGGGUGUGCUUCCCAAACGUCAAUGCUCGCAAGCGAACAGAUGACAGCUUUCGCUUAAAAGUCCAGGAGGAGCAUCACACAGGCGAAAGUAUUCUUGAGGAACUUCCUUUUGACCUAGUGAAAGAUAUACCAUUAGAUUACAUGCACCUUGUGUGCUUGGGUGUCAUGAACAAGCUCUUGACACUGUGGGUACGUGGCCCAAAAGUGACCAGACUUGGAAGCAAAGUGCGUCUUGAGAUGUCGGAAAAAAAUUCUCAAAUUGCACGGUGUGUUCCAUGUGAUUUUAGCCGAAAGCCGAGGAGCAUUGCUGAACUUGAUCGGUGGAAAGCGACUGAGUUUCGCUUUUUUCUUUUAUAUGGAGGACCCGUUGUUUUGUCAUCACUGAUUCCUGCACACAUGUACAAGAACUUCUUAGCUUUACAUGUGGGGAUCUCUGUUCUUUCCACACCAGCUGCACCUGCAAGUGAGAUAGAGUAUGCCGGAAACAUGCUCAAGUUUUUUAUCCGGACAUUCAUAAGCAUUUAUGGCAAAGAGCAUGUUUCACACAAUGUGCAUGGCCUGUGUCAUUUGGCAGAUGAUGUUACACACCUUGGCCCCUUGGACUCAUGGAGUGCCUUCCCAUUUGAAAACCAUAUGUCCUCGUUAAAGAGAAUGCUGAGAAAGCCAGACCUUCCCUUGGAGCAACUUUGCAACAGGCUUGCUGAGCAGGCACACCGUCCUCUGAGGCAUAAGAAAACUGAAAGCCAUGUCGUAUUUGCUGCAGAGCAUGCUGACGGGCCACUUGUUGCUCCAUGCCGAGGCCCCGAGUUUAAAAAAGUAACAUUGCCUGGCAAUGUCAUUCUUAGAGCUGAAAAGAGAAAUGGGUGCUGUAGGCUAAGUGAUGGGUCAAUCGUCGUUAUUGACAAUUUUGCUCAUCUCCCGUGCGGUGAGCCAUGCAUAAUUGGAAGGAAGUUCCUCAAGUGUGAAGAUUUUUAUUCUCUGCCAUGCCCUUCCUCCAUACUGGGAAUUUACUCAGUGUCUCAGCCUUCUAGUCUGCGGUAUUGGCCUCUGAAGAACAUCUCACAGAAAUGCCUGAAAGUGUAUUUGAAAAGGAAAAGCAUUGUUUUCCCUCUUUUGCAUGCUACAGUGCACAUGUAAUAAACUUUCACAACUGUGUCAGAAUGUAUACAGAAUUUGAAUUUGGCUUCUCUUUCUUUUGCAAGGUCAAUACGUUGUCGUUCUCUUCCCAGAAGAGGAUGAUACAUCUGGGAUCAUCCUCAAAAGUUGGCUGAAAGGCGACGGCUGCCUGUGGCCUCGACAAACUAAAUAUGUACAUAGUUUGUUGAAGGCGAAAGCGACUCCAGGGGCUGACUGGAUAGAAGUGCCUUGCACUGUUGUCCGAGAAUUUGGUAAAUUAUUCCUUAUUUAUGCUGUUUUACUGCACGUUUUUCAGCGAUUUGGUCAGCAAUGAAGUAAAAGGUAUGUAAUAAACUGCAAUUUCAGCAUUGUAACUCUAAUUGCCACUUUAGAUCAAAGUAACUUCUUAAAAGUUUAGAUGGGUUCGAGAAUAUCAGGAAAAGAUAUCAGAAGAUGGCUUCGAAGAAUAUCAGAAGAUAGCUUCGAGAAUAUCAGGAAAAAAAGAACAAUUAUGCGAAAUCAAGUAUCUCAUAAUUUGUGAAUACUUGCAUGUCAGCUGUCAUUGCAGCAAAAUUUAAAUGAUCCAUUUUAAUAUCAUGGGUGACUCUUAGUACCUGCUUGGUAAUGACUUAUGCAAAGGAAUUGGAGUUCUACUUGUUAUGUGUGACAGAUCUGAGAAAUGAUCAUGCUUAUCAUUUAAUUAGUAGUUGUUGCCCUUCUUUCUGCAGAUACAUAUGCCGAAGCACGGGCAAAUCUGCCAAGGGUAGAAAAUGGAUCCAACUUGGACGGCGAGGCAGAACUUGGGAAAGGCAGAAGAAAAAAAAAUAAGAGAUCCUAUGAGUCUGAAGAUGAUGAAGGGGCACCAUCACCUCCAGCUUCAAUGAUAAGACGUAUAACACCAUUUUUGAACUUUACGUAAAGUGAACUGCUUGUACUUAUGUUUUUUAAUAGUAUUGAAUCUUUUUACAUCCUGCAAUGCCUAUUUUACAAUGAUAGCCCCACGGAAUUGCUCACACUGUUUUCUGUUAUCUACCGCCAAAAGUGCUUCAUCUCAGUGUCAACUCUGCAUGCGUAUUCAGGUCCUAAAAAGGCAUCACUGAGCAUGCUAACAAAAUAACUGAAGCCAUGUAGGCACAAAUUUCUAAAACCGACAAUAAUGUGCAGAGAAGCCAUAAACAACUGUGUGCUUGUUUUGCUGUGUUUAGUAGCACUUCUCAUUUUCAAUGUUAUCUCAGCUUUUGCCAUUUUAUAUGUUGCAAUUCAGCGCUAUUACUUCAUGAACACGUCUUUACAGAAUACGUGCGUCAACUCAUGCGAAUUUCGCAAACUAUCCUGAUGAGGCUAGAGCAGCUGGGACGACAGGUUGAUGCCAUGCAGCAGCACCUUUUCAACACAACAGUGAGGCUUCAAGAUGAGACAAAUGAUGAUGUGGUUUUGACACCGGUCAAGGAUAUUGACCAAUUUCUAAGUCUUGAGGGGAGACUUGCUGCUGAUGGCAACAUUAAGCUAAAGCUUAUACAGCAGCUUGCUGGCCUUGGUGGCUCAACUUUUGGGGCAGCAGCCAGGAGGAUGCUGGAGCUUCUGCUAAGCCUUGAGGUUGCUGUGCAGUUCAGCUGGGCAGGCCAAAAAGGCAAAAGGAAGUUUGUGGAUCUAGGUGUCACAGAUGUCAUUUGCAAGGCCGUGAGGCGAAAUUUUCCGGAAACAAAAAAAAAUGACAUCGAGUGUGUGAUUAAAGUGUGGCUUCGGCAUGCUGGGGAAAAGCUCCAGAAGCAGCGCUUAAGAACUUCUCGCACUCACCAUGAGGAAUGUCUUCAAAGUGUCGCGUUGUCAAGCCCAUCGGAUGAAGACCUCUGAAGGCACAGGGCAAGAAGUCUCAUCUAGUGAAAACUGCCAAGUUUCAUUCCUGAAAAUAAACAUGUUUUCUGUGCA